GCAGUUCCCGCCGGCGCUGCUGAGUUUCUUCAUCUACAACCCGCGCUUCGAGCCGCGCGAAGGAGAAGCUGGGGGAGAGAGUCGAGGCCCCAGAUGGGACUGGAGUAUUCUCAGUCCGAAUAGUGAACACAGAGUCAUCCUCAAUCCUCUCUACUCCCGUGGUCUUGAGGGGCCACUGCUACCUCCUCCUGGUCCUGACCUUGAGGCUUCUCAGCACUGGCUUUCUCUGAAUUUCUUCUGUGCACAAGUAAAUCAUUCAGCUUCUUCUGGAACUAAUAAGGAUUUCUCGCCCAGAUACUCCUGUUCCGUGGUUACUCUACUGUUACUGAACCAUGCUUGACCCAGAGGGGAACUCUGCAAAGCUCACCACCUCCCCCAGCUUCCCCAGGGAGAAAGACACACACACCCUCUCCUCUGAGACCUCCAAACCUAUGUGGGUGUCUGUCAUCACUACCACUCCUGCCUCGUACCCGUGCACACCCAAGGACUGUGUUAGGAGAGGCGGAUGCAUUGAUGUCUAAGCGUUCUUGCAUCCUUAACUUUGAAACCAUAAAAGCAUGUUCUUUUCUUUGAUCUCUGGAUGUUUCAUUUUGUUUUUUGUCAUCUCCCUCUUUCGAUGCCUCCUGCAAUGAAUUGUAUGUGGGAGGAAGGGAGAGGCAAACAUGUACAAGGACACAGAGGUAUCCUGGGAGAAACUGUGACUCAUACUAUAAAAUAUUAAUCUCA